rnacentral:ncRNA from 1 species
CAAUAGAUAAUAAAUAAUUAUGUUUAAAAAAAUUUAUUAAAGGUUUAUUUUAUAUAUAAAUUAUAGUGUUAAAUUAUUAUUAUUUUAAUAAUAAUAAUGAUAUUUUAAUAGUAAAUAAAAUUAAAAAUUUAAGAAAUUAAGAUUUAGUAAUACAAAAAUUAAUAACAAAUUUUGUGCCAGCAGUUGCGGUUAAACAAAAGUUAAAUUAAAUUAUUUCAGUUUAUAAGUAAUAAAUAGUGAAUUAAAAUAAAUAUUAAAUUAUUAGGUAAAAUUUUAAUUUAAUUAAAUUUUAUAUAAAAAUUUAUGUUUUAAAAAAUUUUAUUUUAAACUAGGAUUAGAUACCCUAUUAUUAAAAAUUUAAGUUAUAAUACUAAAAUAGUAAAUAAUUAUUUAUUGAAACUUAAAUAAUAUGGCGGUAUUUUAGUUCAUUUAGAGGAAUCUGUUUAAUAAUUGAUAGUCCACGAUUAAAUUUACUUAAUUAAGAAUUUUAUAUAUCGUUGUUAAAAAAAUAUUUUUAAUAAAAAAUAAUAUUUAAAAAUUAAAAUAAAAAAUUAAUUCAGAUCAAGAUGUAGAUUAUAAUUAAGAAUAUAAUGGAUUACAAUAAAAUUAUUUAAAUGAAUAUAUUAUUGGAAAAUGAUAUUGAAGGUGGAUUUAAAUGUAAUUUUAUUUAAUAAAAUAAAAUGAUUUAAAAUUAAAAUAUGUACAUAUUGCCCGUCACUUUCAUUUAAAAAUUGGAAUAAGUCGUAACAAAGUAGAGGUACUGGAAAGUGUUUCUAGAAAGA